CAACUGGAAGACACUUUGGAGUCUAUGAGACCAAGCAUCAAGAGAAUCGAAACAUUUAACAGAGAUUUCGAUCGGCCAGAUGAAAUUAAAGGGCUACGAGAUUUGAUGAAAAAGGGUGAGGAUUUAGUUCGCAAAUGCUCAAAAAUCCAUCGAUACAACUAUGUCAAGAAGCCUUUGUAUACCAAGAAACUUAUUAAGUUCGAUGAGUCUAUUCGUAGGUAUAUUAGUGCCAUUUUGCUACUGCAUUCAACAUCAGAUGUAAAGGAGAAUUUGUAUGAGACGAAACUGCUAAGUGCCCAGAUUAGGAACUUAAGCUU
rnacentral:misc_RNA from 1 species